CAUGUACUGAUGGGGUCCCUCAGCCUGGCCUGUGCCCUCUCGCAAUUCAGGACCCCUUGGAGGAUGUCAGAGAGCCGGUUUCAGCCUGAUCCUGCAGGCCAGGCUGAGGGACCCCACUGGUGCACG
rnacentral:pre_miRNA from 1 species